rnacentral:rRNA from 1 species
UAAUACAGAGGUGGCAAGCGUUGUUCGGAAUUACUGGGCGUAAGGGCGCGUAGGCGGCUCCUUAAGUCAGACGUGAAAUCCCCAGGCUUAACCUGGGAACUGCGUCUGAUACUGAGAAGCUUGAGUUCGGGAGAGGGAUGUGGAAUUCCAGGUGUAGCGGUGAAAUGCGUAGAUAUCUGGAGGAACACCGGUGGCGAAGGCGGCAUCCUGGACCGAAACUGACGCUGAGGCGCGAAAGCCAGGGGAGCAAACGGGA